rnacentral:rRNA from 1 species
GAUGAACGCUGGCGGCGUGCCUAACACAUGCAAGUCGAGCGGCAGCGAGGGGUGCUUGCACCCUGUCGGCGAGAGGCGGAAAGCUGAGUAAAGCGUGGGAACGUCCCCCACAGCGAGGGAGAACUGCACGAGAGAACGACUAAUACCGCAGAAUAUCUUCGGAUCAAAGGAUUUAUCCGCUUUGGGAGCGGCCCGCGUCGGAUAAGGUAGUUGGUGAGGUAAUGGCUCACCAAGACGACGAACCGUAGCUGGUCUGAGCGGAUGACCAGCCAGACUGGAACUGAGACACGGUCCAGACUCCUACGGGAGGCAGCAGUGAGGACUCUUCCACGAUGGGCGAAAGCCUGAUGGCGCAACGCCGCGUGCAGGACGAAGGCCUUCGGGUUGUAAACUGCUUUUAUAAGUGAGGAAUAUGACGGUAACUUAUGAAUAAGGAUCGGCUAACUACGUG